GGAGGGAUUCCAUGGCGCCACCAUCAUCCUCGUCCUCGGCGAGGACGCCAAUCCGAGGUGAGCUGCUUCAGACCCUUCUGCAGGUCGUCGUCUUCCUAGCCGGCCGCCUGUGGGCCGUAAUGCUCCGCCCCUGGUUCGUCGGGUCUGAUUCCAAUAGAGGGGACACUGCCACAGCUCACCCAUGGAACGUAUUUGUCUCUCUUCUCUCCCCCCCUCUCUCUAAUUUAAUCCCUACCUCUCUCCAAUUUAAUCCCUACCUCUCUCUAAUUUAAUCCCUAGAAGUUAUGUUUGUUUGUGCAGAUCUGGUUAUCUAUGCCAACAAGGUGUUUGACAAAAUUCCAAGAAGGUUAUUCACUCUUUUAAUUUCUUGAUUGGAAGUAUGAAGAGGUUCUUGGAUUAAAGAAGGUAAUUGGAAUCGUCAUUGCACUGAUUGGGAUGGGACUAUAUUCAUACUUCCAAUAUUUAUAUGUAGAUUGUCUGCUCAUUUUGGUCCAUACAUGGGGCUCGACUCCAUAAUGGUUUGAAACAUGCCUACUGGAUUAUGAUGACCCUGCUUCAAAUUCUGGUCAUCAGACAUAUGGAGUUUCUGAGUGUUUCCUUGUUUAACAUUAGUAAACCUUUGACAAUUCAUACUAGAUAGCAUGGUACAUGGCAUAGUAGUAGUUCAUACUAGAUUAAGACCCUUCAGGAUUGGUGGCGUUGUCACAAAGGUAAGAGAGGGGUACUGAUUUAUUACUGCUACAGCAAAUGCACUACUACUUGAUGUUUCUUUUCUAUGUAAUUUUUCAGUUUUGGUUCCGCACGUAGCCACGUCAAAACUGUUUUCCUCUCUUGCUGCAAGUUUUGAUCAUCACUAACAUUUUUUUUAUGUUCUGUCCAACACAAUUGUUAGAUAACCUGAAUCUCUUCUUGAUCUCCUUGCCGAGGUUUUGGUCUGCUACAAAAGGACAUGAACUGAACCAUAAGCGAGCAGGCUGAGCAUUUUACAUGACCUCCAAGCUAUACGAGAUCACAAUGGUUUGGAUCCUUGAGUUUCCACCGUUUACUUCAAUCUAUAUCUUUAUUCCCUAGGUUGGACUCGAUGUAGAGUAUCAUGGUCACCAACUAUUGGAUAUGCUUGUUAUGUGCGAUUGCUGGCAGAGAUGGACAAGAAAUAAGGUGAUGCUACACACUGAAUUCUAUCUUGGUUUUGCUGGAAAUUCUAUCCGGGUUUCGCUCUCUACCACGAAACAAUUUCUUUUCCAUUUAGGUACAUUGUUUAUUGUUCAUGGCCAUGUGAUUUUACUCUUGGACAACUUUUCCGGGUGUAUUUUGGAGGAAGAAGAUGGAAGUUCUUAUUGUUUGGUCUCCAAUGUAUUUUGGUUCAGGUGCCCCGGUCUAAUGAUUUUCCUUGCUGGUUAUAGUAUUUCCAUAUGGUUCGACAUCCAUCCAUACAUAACCAUUGAAAACGUACAUAUUUCAUGCAACUUCAUUGUACUUUGAGUACUUUUAUCCAAUCUGGUCUUAUUGCUCAUAUCCAAUAUCCAUGUGCUUGAAUGCCUUUUUUAUGUUUGGAUGUGCCGCCGCGAGGAGGAGCGGCCGGUGGGGAUCCACAUGAGUUGGACUUUUCGCCUCCUCUGCCUGUGGAAGUAGCAGAUGCCCGGCGCAUGCGCACAUUAUUUUGGUCUGUGAAGUGUGGCAUUUUAGGUACUGAUUGAAACGGCUACUUUGAAUACAUAUGAUGCUUCAAUUUGCCAUUGGGAAGAACUGAGAGGUAUUUGAGAGGUGGUUCGAUCUUCAAUUGCGUGGUAUUGGUUCAUUUUAUUUAUAAGAAGUAUAUUAUUCUCUGCUUGGUAUUGGUUCAUUUUAUUUAUAAGAACAACUGUAUAUAUGAUUCCUGUAGGCACUUUUUGAUAUCUCAUAAUUUUGUUCCUCGUGAUGAUCAAUUACUAGAAUAUAUAAUAAGUUGCUUAUGUUAAUAAUUUCUACUUAUUUCUUUGUGAUCUUUCAAAUCUUUUCUUGCCAUAAAUGAUGCCGCUUUUGUUGCCAUGCUUGAUCCUGGAUUCUUAUUUUGUUUUAUCAAGUGAUAUCAUCGGAAAUUCAGGUAAUGAUGGUAAGGUUUCAGGUAAUACACAUUAUACUUAUUAUCAUAGAAAUUGACAUCCUGAUGUUGCUCGUGUAAUUGGGCACCGAGAGAUUUAUGAUAUUUUGUCACUUCAGGUUGAUGUCCAUGACCAGAACUAUAUUAGUGAAAGCUAGGCCUUUUUCUUAUAUAUGUUUUAUGUGUGUAAAUGCCCCCUCAGUUCUUGCUUGUUCUGCCUAAAUUUGUCUUGAUAUUGGUAAACAAACUAUUCGUGUUAUGUUGGUUUGUUCAGCUGUACAUUUGCGGUGAGCACUUAGUUCAGGGCACUAUGCUUAAAAUAUUAGUUCAGGCUAUUGCCCUUAAAAAGAUUAGCGGAUCCCACUCCAUGCCGUUUCCUUUGAAAAAUUAUUAGAUGACCUAAUUCCACUUUCCAUAAUAUAUGCUCCUCUAUUUAUGAUUAGGCAAUAAUACUUGAAUUAUUAGGCAUUCUUGAUGUAUCUUUUCUUUUGGCAUGUACUGUGUCCUGUUGUUAUGACUAUUACUUCUGCUAUUUUACGAGUUAUAUUAGCGCAGUGGGUAGCGGGAUGCUGAACUUGCUAGCCAGAGGAAUGAAGUAGACACUUACUUUUUAUUGCACCAUUAUAUUUACAGCAUAGGUCCUUAUUAGCUAUUGUGUUUAGGACAGCAACUUUCAGCAGUUUGUAGCUGACGGACAAUGGAGCAAGGAUGAAACAAAAGCUUUUGUGGUAUUUCAAGUGCGUCUCUGCAUUCCUCAAGUAGUUGUCGAUGCUGCCCAUGCUGACAUAUGAAGCCAGUUAUUUGCAGAGAUUGUAAAUGAAGAAAUUGUAUCCGUUGAUGGAUACGAGAGGCAGUUAGGAAAGCAGCGCAAAGUCUAAAUUUGAAAAAGGAGGCUGCUAUGACCAUCUUCAGUAAAGCAUGACAGGUACGGAUUCUCAGAGAACAAAAGCAACCGGGGGAAUCACAUUGAGCAUGUAAAAAAACUGAAAAAGGUAGCUGAGGGAAUCAAUAUCAGGUCUUCUUUAUCGAACGAGCCGUGGACAAAGAACAGCAAUAGGCUGAACUGGAGGCUGGUUUCAGUGGGGUUUGAUCGCCGAUUUUUCUUCAGUGCAAGUACCUGCAUAUUGUGGUCAACAAUAGGUCUAUCUAUACAUUCGGCAAUUCUGAGUGGUACAAGUUGAAGAAGUUCAAUCUAUAUAUACUAGACUUUAAUACUUGUGUUUCUUUCAUCAGUAUUCGCAUCACCAAUGAAGGCAUCCUUUAAUAAUAGCACAACAAUUUUCACCAAAUCUUUGCAAGCGAUCCAACAAAUGGAAUCAUUGCUCUUGCUCAACCUCAAGGGGCCGUAGUUCCGUGCUUCCCUAUCUUCAUGCAGAGCUGCUUCGCCCCAGCCCGGAUACCGGCCUCGCCUGCAAAAUGCAUCGCGAGGUAGCUGCAGAGAAUCUGAUUUUGGCACCGCCGCAGUGGUGGCACUGGCGUCCAUGAACGAUCGAGUAGAGAUGAUGUUGC